AGCGUGUAUGUUUUGUUUACGGGCAGUGAAAAAGUCGAAAUUGUAGACUGCCAAGGUGCAGGGAGUGUCGGAAGCGCAGGAAGUGUCUGUUUCGUUGUUGUUGGAUGGGGAUAAACGGUGGAUCAUUGGCCACUGUGCUGUGUAAUAGUGAAAGAUUCCAGCGAGCAAUCGCAUCUGGCGAGGCGUGUGCGAAACCGCUGCGAAAUCAGUCAAAUAAACACACCACAUCGAUUCCAGACGUGCAACAACGGGAGCUCCCAGAUAUACACCAGUCUGUCGGACUUCGUCCUUCGUUUGAAGCCAAGACAUCAACACAUCUGCUUCAUCGCCAGUGCCAGCCGAACUGAAGAAGAUCCUGAUUCUUGAAUAAUACCGGAUAAAAACUUGUCUCGAGUUUGUUAGAAAUCAACAUCGAAAUGCGUCGAGAAUCGCGUCCGCGGCCAGAAGACUCACAAGGUAGAUAUCUUCAGGAACAUGUAGUGGAAAUUCGGUGGCAACAGUUGCAU